rnacentral:rRNA from 1 species
UCAUCUUCGGGGGUAGAGCACUGUUUCGGCUAGGGGGUCAUCCCGACUUACCAACCCGAUGCAAACUACGAAUACCGAAGAAUGUUAUCACGGGAGACACACGGCGGGUGCUAACGUCCGUCGUGAAGAGGGAAACAACCCAGACCGCCAGCUAAGGUCCCAAAGUCAUGGUUAAGUGGGAAACGAUGUGGGAAGGCACAGACAGCCAGGAUGUUGGCUUAGAAGCAGCCAUCAUUUAAAGAAAGCGUAAUAGCUCACUGGUCGAGUCGGCCUGCGCGGAAGAUGUAACGGGGCUAAACCAUGCACCGAAGCUGCGGCAGCGACACUAUGUGUUGUUGGGUAGGGGAGCGUUCUGUAAGCCUGCGAAGGUGUGCUGUGAGGCAUGCUGGAGGUAUCAGAAGUGCGAAUGCUGACAUAAGUAACGAUAAAGCGGGUGAAAAGCCCGCUCGCCGGAAGACCAAGGGUUCCUGUCCAACGUUAAUCGGGGCAGGGUGAGUCGACCCCUAAGGCGAGGCCGAAAGGCGUAGUCGAUGGGAAACAGGUUAAUAUUCCUGUACUUGGUGUUACUGCGAAGGGGGGACGGAGAAGGCUAUGUUAGCCGGGCGACGGUUGUCCCGGUUUAAGCAUGUAGGCUGGUUAUCCAGGCAAAUCCGGAUAAUCAAGGCUGAGGUGUGAUGACGAGGCACUACGGUGCUGAAGUAACAAAUGCCCUGCUUCCAGGAAAAGCCUCUAAGCAUCAGGUAACAUCAAAUCGUACCCCAAACCGACACAGGUGGUCAGGUAGAGAAUACCAAGGCGCUUGAGAGAACUCGGGUGAAGGAACUAGGCAAAAUGGUGCCGUAACUUCGGGAGAAGGCACGCUGGUGUGUAGGUGAAG